CUUGUUCCUGGGGAUCCAACUCCCGGCAGGGACACAGCAUGCGGAGUUGCCAGGAUGGAGCAGAGGGACAGGUCUGGAGGGAGGGAAGACAAUGGUGGCAGGAGCCAGCUGGAGCUGGAGCGAGCCUCCAAGGCAGCAGAUUCUACAGCCACGUUCAGGUCCUCCAAGGAAGACAGAGACCCGAGGCAGAGGCGUGGAUCCAGCAGAAGGCAGAGACAGGAGGUACUCCAAGUCAAAGUCCACGGCCACAAUGGCUGAAUCCCCUUGAAAAGUAGACCAACUCACAGCCCCACCAACAAUGGGGGGAAACAAAAACACAAGGCUGACCCUCAACCAAUCUCUUAACGUAUGCUGUGUAUUUCUUCGCUAUAAGCACAGUGUUGUACAUCACAUCUCUGGAAUCUUUUUAUCUUGCAUGACUCAGUCUCUGAGCCCAUCGAGCAGCGGCUGCCUGUUUCUCCCUCCUUCCACGCCCUGCAAGCACCAACCUGCCUUUUGUGUCUAUGAGUUUGAGAAAUUUAGAUUCCUCUUGUGAGUGGAAUCAUAUAACUGGCUGAUUGCAUUGACCAUAAUGUCCACAAGGGUUGUCUGUGUUGUCUCAUGUCAGGAUCUCUUUUUCAGAGUUGCAUGAUUUUCGUGUGUGUGUGUGUGUGUGUGUGUGUGUGUGUGUGUGUGUGUUUUCUUUAUCUGCUCAUCCGUGAGUGGACAUUUAGGUGGUUCCCACUUUGUGGCUAUUGUGAAUGAUAUAAUUAGUAUGGAUGCCAUGGUUUGAAGGUGUCCCCCCAGAAAGCAUGCAUUGGAAACUUAAUCCCCAUUGCAACAGUGUAGGGAGGUGGGACCUAAUGGGAGGUGUUUAGAUCAUGAGGGCGCCACCUUCGUGGGUGGAUUUAUGCUCUCAGUAAAAGGAUUCAAGGCUGGGAGUUCAAUCUCUUGCUUUCCUCUUGCUCUCUCACCCGUGUUCUGACACAGCAGAAAUGCUCUCACCAUCUGCAGCUGCUCAAUCUUAGAUUCCCAGCCUCCACAACUGAAAGCAACAAACCUUUGUUCUUUGUAAAUUACUUAAUCUCAGGUAUUCUGUCAUAGCAGCACAAAACACACUAAUACAAUGCAAGCACAGAUAUCUCUUCAAGAACCUGACCUCAAUUAUUGGGAUGAACACCCAGAAGUUGGAUUGGUAGACCACAGAGUUCUUCUAUUUUUAAUUUUUUGAGGAAUCUCUAGUUUUUUGUUGUGGUUUCAACUUCUCCCCAGUCGACAAUCCCUGUUUUGCUGGUUGGCUGGCUGGUUGGUUGUCUUAUAACAGCCGCCUUAACGAGUGUGAGGUGAUACUUCACUGUGGUUUAGUUGGCCUUUUUCUGAUCAUCAGUGGUGUGGAGCAUCUUUUCACAUUUGUGUUUCUUCUUUGGAGAAAUAUCUACUCAAGGCCUUUGUCCAUUUUUUCAAUCUGGUUAUUUAUUGUUGGGUUGUGGUUGUUUUGUUGUUGAGCUGUAGGAGCUCCUUACUGAAGAGACUAUCUUUUCCCCACUCUGGAAUCUUGGCACUCCUGCAAAGAUCACUUGGCUGUACGUGUGGGUUUGUUUUUUCCUGGGCUCGCUAUUCUGUUACAUGGGUCUGUAUGUCUUUGUGAAGUACCAUGCUGCUUAGACCCCUGUAGCUUUGUACUACUCUUUGAAACCAGAAAACGUGAAGCUUCCAACUUUGCUCUUCUUUCUCAGGAUUGUUUUGGCUAUUGGGGAUUCUUUGUCAUUCCAGAUGAAUUUUAGGAUUUUUUUUUCUAUUUCUGUAGUCAAAAGAGUCUGAUUGGAGAUGUAUCAGAUCUGUAGGCCACUGUAGAAAGUAUGGACAUUGAACAAUAUUAAGUCUUCCAAUCCAUGAGCCUGGGCUGUCUUUCCAUUUGUUAGGUCUUCUUUAAUGUCAGCAAUGCUUUUUAGUUUCCAGUGCAUAACCCUUUCACCUCCCUUAUAAAGUUUACUCCUAAACUGUUUGGGUUUUAUUCUGUUGUAAUGGGGAUUGUUUUCCUAGUUGCCUGGUGGAUUAUUUAUUGUUCAUAGUCAUUCAUUGUAAAACAACAACUACUCUGCUAAUAUUUUCUCUGCUAAUUUUGAUUCCUGCUGAAUUUAUUAGUUCUAACAUAUUUGGGGAUGGAAUUUUCAGGGUUUUCCACACCUUAGGUCCUAUCAUCAGCAAAAAAAAUAAUGUUUACUUCUUCCUUUCCAAUUUGGAUGACUUUUAUUUUAUUUUUCUUGCCCAAUUGCUCUGUCUAUGUUGAAUUGUGAGAGGGAGCGUCCUUGUCUGUUCCUGACCUUGCAGAAAAUUUUUUCAGUUUUUCCCUAUUGAACAUGUUAACUAUUUUCCUGUAUUCCUAGUUUGGUUGAGUAUUUUAAUCAUGAAGUCGUGUUGAAAUGUGUCAAAUUCUUUUGAGAGAUCGAUUAAGAUGACCACAUUUUUUUUAUUCUUUGUUAACGUGGUCCAGUACGUAUUUAUUGAUAUGCACUUAUGAAACUAUCCUUGCAUCUCAGAGAUAACUUACCCGGUCAUGCAUGGUGUGUGAUCCUUUCAAUACACAGUUAAGUUCAGAUUGCUCGUAUUUUGUCGAUUUUUCACACCUAUAUUUCUCAGGAAUAUUGGACAGCAGUUUUCUUCGCUUACAGUAUCUUUUUCAUUCAUUUGUCUUAAUAUCAUGGCCUGGUAAUACCUGCAUCAUAAAAUGAGUAUAGAAGCAUUUCCUUCUCUUUGAUUUUUUUGGGGGAAGAGUUUGAGAAGAAUUGGCGUUAAUUCUUCUUUCCAUGCCCUGGGAUCGAGUGUCAUGAGAGUCGCACGUCCAGGCCAGGUGGAGGUACCUACAGGUCUCUCAGUCUCUGAAAGCAAGCCCCCACAGUCCUCCUGCCAAUCCUUUUCAGUUUUCAGCAGAGUCCUCACAUCCUUAUCCUGUGCCCUAAAGUCCUGACUCCGAGGAGGCAACCAGCCUCUCACUUCAAGAUGAUGAAGACCUUCAGAUCUGACUUCCUCCAUUUCUACUCUACUCCUCGCCUUUCCCAGAAAGGUGGCCCCACCUACACCCGUCCCUCCAUCUCACCUUCCUCCCGACCCCACUCAGUUGAAUAGGCUCCUAAAAUGUCUCAGAUGUGUCCAAACAUCAUCAAAAGGGUCAUCACCGGCCUUGACCAGAGCUCUGCCCCCAGCGUCAUGGAGGACGAAGACAGACUGUGUGGGGGUGGGUAGGAGGAGGUAGAAACAGGGAGCUUGGGGGGAUGAUGGAAUAUUCUAGGUCUUUAUUGUUGGGUAGGCAUCUGUCAAAAUUAUAGAACUGCACAUGGAAGAAGGCGGAUUCUGCUAGAUGUAAAUGGCACCUCGAUAAA